GUUCAUUCAAGAGCGGAGAACACUUGCAACAUCCGAAAAAGAUUAUAAGAAUAUUUGGAUUGUCUUACUGAGCUUACUGUUUCCGCUGUGCUGUUGCGCGGCAGCAGUUGCAACUAUUUGAGAACCUGAGAAAGGGGAGGAGUCUGUUUACUUAGAUCGGAACACAUUACUGUCCAGCAACUUUUUUGUCUCCUCUAAUCUGUAUGCACUAAGGUCAUAAAGAUUUUCAAGGUGGCUUCAAAGCCGCCCUGACGACGAGGAAGCUUAGACUGAAACAGUUUACCUUGGAACUUGAAGGGAGGCCCCAACAGGUGAUUGCGAUGAUCCGUGCAAUGUUCAUUGCUUUUCAGCUAGUAUAACCAGUAAAGAUUCAUCGAAGCUUCUCCAAGGUCUUUGUGGGCCUGGCUGAACAGAAACACCUGCUCCACCCUUCACGCAGGCUGAACAGAAACACCUGCUCCACCCUUCACGCAGGGGCUCCUGAGAAAGCACAGCAAUGGGUGAAGCAAGUGUAUUGGCUGCCUAUGACAUGCUGCGGAAGCCAAGCUUCUUCCUCACGAAUGUCUUCAGGUCUGAGUCCCUUGUGCCUGCCUCAGAGUCACCCGCUCAUAUUGCUUAGGGAACACCUGAAGAAUGUCCACCUUUUUCUGGGA
rnacentral:lncRNA from 1 species